rnacentral:rRNA from 1 species
GACAGAGGUGGCAAGCGUUGUUUGGAAUUAUUGGGCUUAAAGGGCGCGUAGGCGGUGGUGUAAGUCUGAGGUGGAAUCCUGCAGCUUAACUGUGGGACUGCCUUGGAAACUGCAUCACUUGAGUCAAGCAGGGGAAGGCGGAAUUCCUGGUGUAGCGGUGAAAUGCGUAGAUAUCGGGAGGAACACCAGUGGCGAAGGCGGCCUACUGGGACGGUACUGACGGUCAUGGACGAAAGCUGGGGGAGCAAACCGGAUUAGAAACCCGUGUAGU